UACGUAGGGUGCAAGCGUUAAUCGGAAUUACUGGGCGUAAAGCGUGCGCAGGCGGUUCGUCGUGUCCGAUGUGAAAGCCCCGGGCUCAACCUGGGAAUGGCAUUGGAAACUGGCGGACUCGAGUGUGGCAGAGGGGGGUGGGAAUUCCGCGUGUAGCAGUGAAAUGCGUAGAGAUGCGGAGGAACACCGAUGGCGAAGGCAGCCCCCUGGGCUAACACUGACGCUCAGGCACGAAAGCGUGGGGAGCAAACAGG
rnacentral:rRNA from 1 species